UGCUGUGGACAAAAUCCGGAAAGCAUUUCCUUCGCCUUCUGGAGAAUACAAAGGAUUUGAAUAUGCUCAACACUACUGAAUGCGAGAUUUAUGUUGCUUAAUGGCUUCAGCUUUGCUGA